GGAAAAAUCAGGUUUAAGGAUAGCAGAAAAACUGGCCUGCCAACAUGAUCUAAUGAACCACAGAACAGUCUUGAAAGAGAAAAAGUAGCAGGAAGUUCUUUCAUACCAGGUUUACCAUACCAAAAAGAGAUUCUAGCAGGAAGCGACAAUCAGUGCAGUGCUUGCUUGAAAGAGUGCUUUCACUUUUUCUUAGAAGCAAUAUGAAAGACAAAGAGUUUUCAAAAGAAUGAUGAUCCAGAAAUUCUCAACACUGCAAGAUAGUUCCUUG